rnacentral:piRNA from 1 species
UAACAGGGGAGCAGCACCUGGCCAAGUGU